AACCCACGUUUUUCAACUCCAUCCACAAAAUAAAUACGGAGUAAAUAAAUAAAAAUAAGCAAGAGAAAAAGAAAAAGAAAAAGAAAAACUUCUGCACACUCCCACUGCGAAACUCAACCAUCGCUCCCCUAUGCACCAUUGCCUUCAACUGUGUUGGCCACCACCAAACCUUCCUCUCCGUCGAUCUCUCUGCUCCCUUCAAUCAAUUUUCUGCUCUCCUGUGAUUCUCCUCCUCAUCGCUUCUCAUUCUCUCCUCUCCUGUGCAGCUUGUUGGUUUAUAAAUUCAAUUAUUCUUGGCUUGGAGUUUCACUGAUUUCCUCUUCUUCUUUUUUAUUGAUUAAUUGCAAUUAUUUGAUUUUAUUUUUGCAGUUGUUUUUGUUGAAAACUACGGAGUAUGCAGCUUGUUGUACUUAUAUUAUGGAUCUAUGUAUUAAAUGUCAAGCUAAUGCUACGGUUUAGGAGUGCGUAGUUGCCGGGGGUUCGAAAUAUUCACCGAUGCUGACAGCUAUUGGUUUUCCGGUGACUGUUGCACAUAUUUCCACUAACUGUUAUCCUCUAGUGAGAUCGGUUUGAGUCGUCGUGAAGUCUUCUCGAAGAUGCAGUGUUUAAAGAGAUUUACUCUGAGGCAUUUUAGACUCCAGGCCUCCUUGAGGACCUGCUCAUUUACUGAAAGUGCGAAUAUACUUCACAAAUUCAUCAGGCAAUUGGGUUCACUACAAGGUCGAAGACCAGAUAAUGGAUCGAGUGAUUAGCUUAGUCAAGAAGUUCAAAGAAGUUCAAACAAACUGACAUCGCCAAGGGGGAGGGGGACCCUUCUCGCCACAAGAUCUUAUGAUGGCCAGCGAAGAAUUUGGAACAUAAAUGGUGAACUGAAGAGUACACUAAGUAAACAAAAGGAGCCAAUAUUUUCUUUGAAAUGGAACAAAGGGUGAUUAUCUUCUUACGAAAAGCUUUGAUAAAAUAGCCAUUGUGUGGGAUGUGAAGUCAUGAGAGCCUAAGCAACAUUUUGAGUUUCAUACAAGUGAUUUUAUGACGGGAUAUGGUUAACUGUUCACUGGAACUUUCAGUUUUUAAGAAGGUUGUAUGCGUUUUUAUCCUCAAGAUCUUGUAGGUCCGACCUUAGAUGUUUACCGGCGAAAUAAUGUUUAUUUUGCAAAAAGUUCUACAUAUAGCAUGAUAUACGUAGUUGAUUAUUUUUUUGGUUGUGAUUGCUUAUUAUUGGGACAAAAUAAAGCGCUUUGGAGAUA